rnacentral:rRNA from 1 species
UGGUGGGUAGUUUGACUGGGGCGGUCUCCUCCUAAAGAGUAACGGAGGAGCACGAAGGUUGGCUAAUCCUGGUCGGACAUCAGGAGGUUAGUGCAAUGGCAUAAGCCAGCUUGACUGCGAGCGUGACGGCGCGAGCAGGUGCGAAAGCAGGUCAUAGUGAUCCGGUGGUUCUGAAUGGAAGGGCCAUCGCUCAACGGAUAAAAGGUACUCCGGGGAUAACAGGCUGAUACCGCCCAAGAGUUCAUAUCGACGGCGGUGUUUGGCACCUCGAUGUCGGCUCAUCACAUCCUGGGGCUGAAGUAGGUCCCAAGGGUAUGGCUGUUCGCCAUUUAAAGUGGUACGCGAGCUGGGUUUAGAACGUCGUGAGACAGUUCGGUCCCUAUCUGCCGUGGGCGCUGGAGAACUGAGGGGGGCUGCUCCUAGUACGAGAGGACCGGAGUGGACGCAUCACUGGUGUUCGGGUUGUCAUGCCAAUGGCAUUGCCCGGUAGCUAAAUGCGGAAGAGAUAAGUGCUGAAAGCAUCUAAGCACGAAACUUGCCCCG